UGUGGUUUUGGCUCAGGGGUAGAGCGCUCAACUAGCAUGUGUGAGGCACUGGGUUUGAUCCUUAGAACCACAU
rnacentral:tRNA from 1 species